UGUGUGUGUGGUGUACAUGUGCCACCCAGGAAGAGGAGUUGUUUCAAAGAACUGGAAAACAGGAACACUGCAAUCCUACUGAUUCCUCAUCUGUGUUUGCCCAGCGACUCAAAGAGAGGCUAGGCAGGGUCCACACCACAGCCUGGGCCUCUCACAGUCUGGUGUCCAGCUCAGCACUGGACACUGUGUUUCUCAACACAGCUUAGACAGCAGUAUCUUCUUUUUCCCACUCUUUACCGGAUUCUUCACCACACUCAGGAGCCUUCAGACCAGCAUUAGCUCAACAAGGCUUCAAGUUUUAGACUUGCUACGGUCUCUCUCUUUCCCCUUCUUCCCAAUUCUACACACUAGUCAGGACACCCAUGAUUGGGAAGGAGGCAACUGGCCUAGAAUCUCAUGAAAGGUCACCUUUUCUGAGAAAUGUUUCAUAGGUAAUUUCUUUCUUCAGGACAUCAGAUCCUCCUGGCUUGCCCGUAUUGAAGAACUCUCUGUUCCUUCCAGCCUGGAUCCCUAACACCUCUGUGGAGUAUUGCUUUCCUUGUGAAACAACUGGGGGAUGAACUAAGGUUUUGCUUAGGAGCCCAGACUUGCCUGGAACUUGCUGAAUAGCCAAGAUGGGCCUUGAAUUCACUGUUGCCAUGCCGCUGCCUCCCAAGUGAUGGGAGCACAGACUUGAAGCUGGCAUGACCACAGACGCCAUUCCCAUGGCCCCUGGUGGAGGUGAGGAACACCGUAAACACCUCAGGAGGUCUCCACGGAAGGACAUGUGAUGCUGGGCGGUGACUGCAGUGAAGCAGUAACACGGACCCGGAUGCUUGCUUUCUUCUUCCUGCUGACCCUUCUGGACUGAGGUCUUCCUGCCUGACUCUCUGAGGAAGCCUGUUUCUACACAUUGGAUCCCGGCGGUGUGAGGCAUAGCAUAGCUGGGUUGCCAUGGCCCUGCUUGCCCCGCUGAUUAUUUCUCCUUAAUUGAGCGUAAAGAAUGUGUGGAAUGUGGAGAGACCGAGGGAAGAGGGCUGAGCAGCCCCUCAGGGAUGCGGAUUCUGGACUUUGAGAUGGGAAGAGUUGCGGAUAGCCUGCUGAACCCACAUAGACUGUGUUCAUUAUGGGUCCCCAUAUUCUUCUACACAGCAUGGCGGUGAGCCCGUGUCUCCAAGCCUUCUCUGUUCCUCACUCUCCUGUUGCCAGAGUGUUCUACGUUCAUGCCAGACUGGCUGUGACUGCCUCUCUUCCCAGUCAUCUUUCUUGAUUUAAACCCAUCUUGAUUUAAAUUCCUACUUUGCUUAUUUUGCUUAUUUUGUUUUCCAAGAUGGGGCUGUCCUGCAAUUACUAGCUUUCUAGACCAGGCUGGCCUUGAACUCACAGAGAUCCACCUGCCUCUGCUGGGAUUAAAGCCGUGCA
rnacentral:sRNA from 1 species